GAAAGAAGAAAAGGGCGCAUGGGGGAUGCCUGUGGCUCUCGGAGGCGACGAAGGACGUGACAAGCUGCGAAAAGCCGCGGUGAGGGGCAAAUGCCCAGCGACCCGCGGAUGUCCGAAUGGGGAAACCCGUCGGGAGUGAUCCCGACACACCGCCAACAGGCGGUGGGCGAACCCGGGGAACUGAAACAUCUAAGUACCCGGAGGAAAAGAAAAUAACAAUGAUUGCGCAAGUAGUGGCGAGCGAACGCGCAAGAGCCCAAACCGGGGCGGUCGAGGCCGCGCCCGGGGUUGUAGGACCGUCGACGCGUUGCCAUUUCAAAUGUAGCGGAAGCCUGUGGAAACUGGCGCCAAAGCGGGUGACAGCCCCUUACGCGAAACAUGCGAGAUGCGACAAGACGGCACCUGAGUACCGCGGAGCACGAGGAAUUCUGCGGGAACCAGCGGGGCCCAUCCCGUAAGGCUAAAUACUACCGAGAGACCGAUAGUGGACAAGUACCGUGAGGGAAAGGUGAAAAGUACCUCGAGCAGAGGAGUGAAAAAGACCCUGAAACCAUGCGCCUACAAGCGGUCGGAGCACCGUUAAGGUGUGACGGCGUGCCUUUUGCAUAAUGAACCUACGAGUUGCCGUCGCCGGCGAGGUUAAGUGACAGGAGUCACGUAUCCGAAGCGAAAGCGAGUCCGAACAGGGCGUGUUGAGUCGGCGGAGGCAGACGCGAAACCAAGUGAUCUACCCUUGUGCAGGAUGAAGGACGGGUGAAUCCGUCUGGAGGUCCGAACCGAUAAGCGUUGAAAAGCUUACGGAUGACGUGAGGGUAGGAGUGAAAGGCCAAUCAAACUUGGAGAUAGCUCGUACUCCCCGAAAUGUAUUUAGGUGCAGCCUCUGCGGUGACAGAUGGAGGUAGAGCGACCGAUAGGAUGCGAGGGCUUCACCGCCUAUCAAGUCCUGCCGAACUCCGAAUGCCAUUUUGUUUUACGCAGGGAGUAAGGGCGCGGGUGCUAAGGUCCGUGUCCGAGAGAGGAACAACUCAGACCACCGUCUAAGGCCCCGAAAUCCGGGCUAAGUUGAAGACAAUAACGAGGUGGGUCCGCCCCGACAGCCGGGAUGUUGGCUUGGAAGCAGCCAUUCAUUCAAAGAGUGCGUAACAGCUCACCGGUCGAGCGGUCCCGCGUGGAUAAUAAUCGGGCAUAAGUCCGGUGCCGAAGACGUGGAGCCAUGCCUUAAGUGUGUGGUUGGUAGGGGAGCAUUCCGCGCGGCGUAGAAGGUGUGCCUCGAGGCAUGCUGGAGCGCGCGGAAAAGCAAAUGUAGGUAUAAGUAACGAUAAGGGAGGCGAGAAACCUCCCCGCCGUAAGACCAAGGUUUCCUGAUCAACGCUAAUCGGAUCAGGGUCAGUCGGGUCCUAAGCCUCAGCCGCGCGGCGAGGGCGAUGGCCAAACGGUUAAUAUUCCGUUACCUGACUGGACUGCGAUGUGGAGACGGAGAAGUGACACGCCCGCGCGCUGACGGAAUAGCGCGUUAAAGGGGAGUAGGUAAACGCCGGGCAGGCAAAUCCACCCGGAGUGCCGACCCCCGACAGUACGGCAAGCCUUCGGGCGCGCCGACAGCGGCGGUAAUCAAGCUCCCGAGAAAAUCCGCUAAGCUUCAGGUCCAGCCAGCCCGUACCGUAAACCGACACAGGUGGUCGGGUAGAAUAUACCAAGGCGCUCGAGAGAUUCAUGGUUAAGGAACUAGGCAAAUUGACCCCGUAACUUCGGGAGAAGGGGUCCUCACUGCAAGGUGAGGCGCAGAGAAUAGGUCCAGGCAACUGUUUAUCAAAAACACAGGGCUGUGCGAAGUUGAGAGAUGACGUAUACAGUCUGACACCUGCCCGGUGCCGGAAGGUUAAGAGGAGAGGUCAGGGCAACCGAAGCCUUGAAUUGAAGCCCCGGUAAACGGCGGCCGUAACUAUAACGGUCCUAAGGUAGCGAAAUUCCUUGUCGGGUAAGUUCCGACCUG
rnacentral:rRNA from 1 species